rfam:Parcubacteria (Moranbacteria) bacterium GW2011_GWE2_35_2- TR69_C0001, whole genome shotgun sequence.
GCCGUUGUAGCUCAGUCGGUAGAGCACAUCCAUGGUAAGGAUGAGGUCCGCGGUCCGAUUCCGCGCAACGGCU